ensembl:lncRNA
CUUGCUUGGGCCAAGCGGGCAGGGCUGCUCUUAGGAACAAAACCAUGCGAGUUCCAGGCAUGUCCAUACACGGGAGAGAGCCCAGGCUGUGGGACUGGCUGCAGCAUUUAUUCUGGUGUUAACAGCAGCGCUGUUAUUUUUCUUAGAAUGAAGAAUUAAAAUAAAGAAGAGAGGGAGAGAUCAUGUUAAAGCAUUUGUAUUAAUGUCACAACCGCCCUCUUAAACUGCAAAGUUCUUCUGUUACAGAGAAGGGAUGGAGCAAACAGAUAACAAACGGGGACGGAGGAUUUGCAAGCAGCUGUCUGAGAACAAGAGCUAAUAAACUGCAUAGAAAUAUGCAAGCAAAGAUGCAGCUUCCUUGAUCUUUAAUACCACCAGAAAGUCCUCUGGCUGUAAAUGGUCUGCAUUGGGUAACGGAGACAGGCACAGAUGCAAUCCUUCACUUUUUCCACAUCGGUUGCUGCAGUUCAAAGAGAAAAAUAGAAACACAGUGAGGCAGCAGAGGAAGAAAUGGAUCCAAUCUAAAGGGGUCCCCGUCUCCAAACAGGAGAAAUUCUGUUUCCCUUGAUGAGGGUGGGCACACCUCCUGUUAUGGAUGGUGGUUGUGAUUAACGGACUAAUAUUGCACGUGAUGCAAUGCCCUUAUACGUAACACAGGAAACAUAGCUGUGUAGCUAUGUGGCUGUGGCUCUGUGAAUCUGUAAAACAUUGUGAUGUGAGCGCAGUGAGAAGCUGAGAAGAAAAAGUGAGUAAAUUCUGUCUAGACAUCUAAUGUACAAUAAAUUACAUUGAAAUAUAUACGUAUCGUUAACGUAGCUUUGCCAGACUGGAACGCAUCUUCACGCAGCAUGGCUUUAAGUAUAUUUUAGAGCACCGAUGUAUAAACUGAUGGCACUGGGAUGGGUAGAAAAUUAAAGGUCCUCUAGUAAUGCGGGUGUCAAGAUGCUACGUAAGCACAUUAUGUGUUGCUCUGAUGAAAUGUUGUGUUUUGUUAAGGAGGAGAUGAUGAGGUGACUUCAGCAGCUUACACGGGAGCUUGGGAUGAGAGCUGUGUGCACCGGUGCUGAUGAGAAGGGUAACAGCAAUUGGGAAGCACUUAAUUGCAUAUGAGAGGGUAGUGGGUUGCAGUCAUCCAUUUAGAACAGUUUACCCUGAUGCGAAUAUGAAGUUCAUCCUCUGUUUUCUGAUGGGCUCAUAAUUGUCUGUGAGGGAUGCAGCUGUGUUUGUGUGCAUCCCCAAUGCCCAGAAAUCGCCUCUGCACAUGUAAGCUGUCUGAUCAUACGUGCAUAUGUAAAAGGGCUUGAAUUGAAACGUGUGGUUUUAAUCAAUGUUUUUUAGAGGUGACACUGAAAUCACUAGAAACAUUUUAACUCUGUACUAAAUGAAUUCUAUUAAUGCUUGGUGUAGGUUUGAGCUAUUGUUGCCAAUAACAGAGCAUCCAGUUUGUACAUUUGUGGUCCCACAGGCAGUAAAACGAGCCACCAAAGCAAGGUUUGCAGUGCACAACAAGAAUGAGCAAGUUGCUGUUGUUACAGCCACACAAAAAAAGAGAUGCUGAGCAUCAUUCUUGGUGUAAAUCCCUCCCCAGUGAGACUCAAUCAGUGACUGAAAUGUUAAACCAGUACUCUGGGAGUGUAAUCUUGGGUACUGGGAGAGCUUGGUUAAUUGUGCCAAUUAUCCAGGCUAUUAAAAUCAAAUAUUCAGUAAAUUGCGUGGUGGCUAUGCAGCAAAACCAAGAGCCACAGACCCCUCCUCAGACCCACACGAGGCAAGACCAGAUAGGAAAGAGCAAACGCCUCCAAGAAGAUCA